rnacentral:rRNA from 1 species
GACAUGCAGAGAACUUUCCGAGAGAUGGAGUUGGUGCCUUCGGGAACUCUGACACAGGUGCUGCAUGGCUGUCGUCAGCUCGUGUCGUGAGAUGCUGGGUUAAGUCCCGUAACGAGCGCAACCCUUGUCCUUAGUUACCAGCACGUUAUGGUGGGCACUCUAAGGAGACUGCCGGUGACAAACCGGAGGAAGGUGGGGAUGACGUCAAGUCAUCAUGGCCCUUACGGCCUGGGCUACACACGUGCUACAAUGGUCGGUACAAAGGGUUGCCAAGCCGCGAGGUGGAGCUAAUCCCAUAAAACCGAUCGUAGUCCGGAUCGCAGUCUGCAACUCGACUGCGUGAAGUCGGAAUCGCUAGUAAUCGUGAAUCAGAAUGUCACGGUGAAUACGUUCCCGGGCCUU